rnacentral:lncRNA from 10 species
AUGAGAUGUGAUGGUUUUAUCAAGGAGAGUUCCCCUGCACAUACUCUCUUGCCUGCUGCCAUGUGAGACAUGACUUUGCUCUUCUUUCACCAUCUGCCAUGACUGUGAGGCCUCCUCAGCCAUGUGGAACUAACAAGGGGGAGUCUCCCUGCACAAGCUCUCUCUCUUUGCCUGCUGUCAUCCACCUAAGAUGUAACUUGCUCCUCCUUGCCUUCCACCAUGAUUGUGAGGCUUCCCCAGCCACGUGGAACUGCUUCUUCUCUGGUUUCCUGUUCUGACCUCCUCUCAACCAUGAAUGCCUAUACUGUGUUGGUGGCCCUGAUGAAGAAAUGUGCUUCUUCAUUUAGACCCAGGAUGGCUGACGGUUUUCUGAUUGAUUCGUAGCAAAACCUGGAAAGCUAGAUUGAGCGAUUUAAAGCCCAGGCCAAGUGCAGCAGCUUGCUUGAGUCCUGGUGGAAAAGGCCUUGUAUGGAAGCCCCAGGGACAACUUCCACCACUGAGGAAUUUUCAGUCUUCUGCAUCUGUCAAUCAACUGAACCAUUUAUAGCUGGUGUCUUCUUUUCUCGUGCCCAUAAGCCCUGUCACUGUUGAGCUGGGCCCACCUUAAGACUGAUGUCCUUUGCAAUUUCUGGGACUACUGCAAGUGCUCCUAACUGUCCUCCCUGCCUCCAGCCUUCCAACCUGCAGCCACUCGAGUUGCCUUCCUACACGUCAGAGCCGACCAUGCCAUUCUCCUGCUUAAAAACCCAUCUCACUGGCU